rnacentral:misc_RNA from 1 species
GCUGCCUGCGUUUUUUUUUUUUCAAAUUUUAAUUUUUUUGGGUUUUCUUGGUUGUUUUCUCACUCUCACCGGUUUAUCUCCACUGGCCAUAAUCUCUUCUCAAAGCUUAUCUCAUCUUCCCGGUGGAUUCUUGGAUGUUCUCUUUCAGAAUUCCGUUUCUUGAGCUACUACUCUUAGAGUCUUCGUCUUUACUCUUUCACUGUUUAGUUCUUGCGAGCCUUUUUUCGUUGCAGCAGCUGGGGAUCCCAAAAACCCAUCAAUUAUCAUCAGCACAAGUACUGGCCAUACAACGCUUUCUUGCCCAAACAGCGUGAUACCCUUUUGGAUUCAAUCAAAAUGCAGGCCCUUUUCUUGGGCUAUUGAGUCAUCCUUUCUUUGUUCUGCGAGACAUUGCCCCUUCCUAUCCCGAUCUUGCCACAGCGAUCAUGACUCAUUUCAAGAUUCUUGGGUUUCUUGGGCUAUUCAUCCAGUCGUUGUGAAUCAUUGCGGCGUGUUCUGUAGCGGUGCAUGGUUUUAAGAACCUUUCCGCAGUAGAAAUCUUCGCCAUUGGUGGUGUCUUCGUUCUUCGGCGAGAUUCUCUGUGGAUUUUCAACUGAAAAUCUCAUCUGGGUUCAGGUACUUAGUCUUUGCUUUACUGAUAUCUGGAAAUGAGUCUACGUUGCUUUUUGCACGCGAUGGUUUAAUUUGGAAUGAGUAUUAAUCGCUCUAUUGACCGUUCCAAGCACGAGAUUCAACUGUUUUUUACUUGUUCUUAAUUCGACAAUUAUUUCUAUAAAUUUUGGUGUUAAGGAGAAAUGCUGGGAAGAUUCCCAAAUUGUUGAGUUUCAUUUCGGUCUAUGAAAGCUUCUUUUACAAGAAAUUCCAAAAGAGAACCCGAAAGAAAAUAAAGGAUUGCAACGGUUGGAACCUUCAAAGCUGCUUUAUACUCUUUACUCGCGAAUCUAUUUUCUUUAUACAGUACCCGUUGUUUCAUUUGAUGGAGAUAAAGAAAUAGACUUGUCAUCCAUGAAAUAUAGAUUGGUAGUCUAAGAACAUGUGUUUUUGAAGUUUCCUUGGGAGAAUUUACUGCAUUAUCUCUCAGAAUUUCUGUUUUAUAUACUUGGAUUUGAAGCACUGUUGAUUAGAAGAUUUCUGGUGUUGACUUCCUUUGUGUUUUACUGUGGGGGUUCAUAAGGUUAAUCUGGUGGCAUUGUGCUGAAUAGUUUUCAAAGCAUCCAUGGGGCUUCUUCGAAGUCUCGUGAUGAUGCUUCUUCUCAUAUGGUUCCUCUGGUUGCCGGUUCACGGAGCUCAACGGCCUAACUCUUCUCAUGAACUUGAUGCUCUUCUCCAAGACUAUGCUUACAAGGCAUUAGCUCCUCCCAAGACUGGCUUGCCUUAUGAUGGGGCUGUUCCCUCAGAAUUGAAUGGGAUAAAGAUUGCAGCAUUGAGGCUUAGGAGUGGCAGCUUAAGGAGGAAAGGUGUUGACAUGUACAAAGAGUUUGUGAUCCCCCCUGGAGUUAUUGAGCAGCCUUAUGUGGAGAGGCUUGUUUUGGUCUACCAAAAUUUGGGAAAUUGGUCUCGGAGGUAUUAUCCACUGUCUGGUUACACUUACCUUGCUCCAGUUCUGGGUCUUCUUGCUUAUGAUGCCUCAAAUUUAACUGCUACUAAUUUACCGGUAUUGGACAUUAAGGCAUCCGAAAAACCUAUAACCAUGAAAUUCUCAGAUGUGAAAUCAGCUCCAGAUGGGUCUAUUGCUAAGUGUGUGUGGUUUGAUUUACAAGGUAACCGAAAUUUUAGCAAUGUGGCAUCUGGCAAUGAAUGUUUUACAAUUCAACAGGGGCAUUUUUCUAUAGUUGUUGAGUAUACUGCCCCUUCCCCAGCACCAUCUGGUGAAGCUCCAGCACCAUCUGGCCAAGCUCCAAAUGUUCCAGGGCCAAGUGAGCAUGGAAAGAAUAAUUCUAAAGUGUGGAUUAUUGUUGGUUCUGUGCUGGGUGGAAUAUUGCUGUUGGUGCUUUUAUCAUUUCUAGUGCUGUGGGUGCAUAAAUUGAAGGAAAGGAAGAAAAUGCAACAGAUGGAGAGGGCUGCAGAUGUGGGAGAAGCCCUGCAAAUGACAUUAGUUGGGGAAAUGAAAGCACCAAUAGCAAUGGUGACUCGAACUCAACCGACCAUUGAGAGUGAAUAUGUUCCCUAACUCCCACCAUUUGUACAAGCUUCCUUUGCCUUUCCGCAGCAAUUCUUAUUCAAGUUCAAUUCCUGUAUUCAGAAAUUCUUCUACUUGCACCUAUUUUUGGUGGUGUCUCCUGCUCACUGCUUUGGUCUUUAGUAGGCUCUUGGUUGUAGUGUCGGUAAUAUAGGAUUUUUGUGUAAAUCUGUUAUCACUUGCAAACCGUUCAUAGAUUUAUGAUUCAUUAUGGUGUGCAUUUAGCCAAAAGUGAUUCUAUAUGUGAUGAAUUUAGUUUUCCCAUAGACAAGCAAUAAAACUGUGGUGCAUUCACUUCUAGAUUGUUUCUAUUUUCUGUCCAAUUAUUUGAAGUGCAAAAUAUAACUUUGGUAUCUUAGUUUUGGAAGUGGGAAAGAAGUAAAGGUUAAACUAAUUCAAGCAGAGGCUACAGCUUCAAUCAUUCCUUGUAAAUUAUUUUUUUUCAGCUGAAGUUAUGUAUCGCCAAACUUACCCUUAUUAUCUAUAAUUAUGACAAUGUUGAAAGAUGAAUUCUUUUGAUUUUGA